rnacentral:rRNA from 1 species
GAUGAACGCUGGCGGCGUGCCUAAUACAUGCAAGUCGAGCGAACGGACGAGAAGCUUGCUUCUCUGAUGUUAGCGGCGGACGGGUGAGUAACACGUGGAUAACCUACCUAUAAGACUGGGAUAACUUCGGGAAACCGUAGCUAAUACCGGAUAAUAUUUUGAACCGCAUGGUUCAAAAGUGAAAGACGGUCUUGCUGCCACUUAUAGAUGGAUCCGCGCUGCAUUAGCUAGUUGGUAAGGUAACGGCUUACCAAGGCAACGAUGCAUAGCCGACCUGAGAGGGUGAUCGGCCACACUGGAACUGGGACACGGUCCAGACUCCUACGGGAGGCAGCAGUAGGGAAUCUUCCGCAAUGGGCGAAAGCCUGACGGAGCAACGCCGCGUGAGUGAUGAAGGUCUUCGGAUCGUAAAACUCUGUUAUUAGGGAAGAACAUAUGUGUAAGUAACUGUGCACAUCUUGACGGUACCUAAUCAGAAAGCCACGGCUAACUACGUG